rnacentral:rRNA from 1 species
GACAGAGGCCUCGAGCGUUAGGCGGAAUCACUGGGCUUAAAGCGUGUGUAAGCGGAUCGUUAAGUGCCUUGUGAAAUCCCACGGCUUAACUGUGGAACGGCUGGGCAUACUGGCGGUCUUGAGCCAUCUAGGGGCGACUGGAACAAACGGUGGAGCGGUGAAAUGCGUAGAUAUCGUUUGGAACGCCAAUGGUGAAAACAGGUCGCUGGGGAUGAGCUGACGCUGAGACACGAAAGCCAGGGGAGCAAACGGG